rnacentral:rRNA from 1 species
CCCUUAGAUGUUCUGGGCCGCACGCGCGCUACACUGGUCGAUGCAACGAGUUUCUUUCCUUGGCCGACAGGCCUGGGCAAUCUUUGAACAUCGAUCGUGAUCGGGAUAGAUUCUUGUAAUUUUUGAUCUUAAACGAGGAAUUCCUAGUAAACGCAAGUCAUCAGCUUGCAUUGAUUACGUCCCUGCCCUUUGUACACACCGCCCGUCGCACCUACCGAUUGAAUGGUUCGGUGAAGAUCUCGGACUUCGAUAUUUGUUCUUCAUUGAACUUAUAUAGUGGGAAGUUAUCUGAACCUCAUCAUUUAGAGGAAGGUGAAGUCGUAACA